UACGGGGGGGGCAAGCGUUGUUCGGAAUUACUGGGCGUAAAGGGCUCGUAGGUGGCCAACUAAGUCGGACGUGAAAUCCCUCGGCUUAACCGGGGAACUGCGUCCGAUACUGGAUGGCUUGAGUUCGGGAGAGGGAUGCGGAAUUCCAGGUGUAGCGGUGAAAUGCGUAGAUAUCUGGAGGAACACCGGUGGCGAAGGCGGCAUCCUGGACCGACACUGACGCUGAGGAGCGAAAGCCAGGGGAGCAAACGGG
rnacentral:rRNA from 1 species